CCAACCACUUCCACAUGGUCAGAGAGGGAGAGAAAAAGUUGACUCGCAUGAUGGGAAAGGUUUUUGUAAAUUCUGAGGGCUACUGAGUAUAUAAUCUUUCCUCUAAGCAGCUGCUGUUGGGGUCUCUCACAAGGCAGCUUCAGAUUGGAGUGUCAUGGCCUGCCACAGCCAUGCUGGCCUUGAAGAUUUCUGUGUUCUAUUUUGAGCAGUUUCACUGUGGAUGAUCCUGGCAAAUGUGUCCAUUUUCUGACAAUAUUUAGAGUCUGAGAAUGCAGAAGCAAAUUGGAGUCUCUAGCUCUAACAUUUGAGCUUGGACAGAGUUUCUUGGAGCAAAGAACCAGUGGAUAGAAAGAAUAAGGGGAUUUCACGCUGCACAAAUCAAGUACAAAGUCCCACCCUUCCUCAGCAGGACUCACAGAUCUUCUUCUGAGAACAAUAAAUGAUAAGCCUGAUCAUUCACCCAACAAAUAUGUUUCUGUGCAAGCUGCAGUGGCAGAUACUAAA